GAUUGAACGCUGGCGGCAGGCUUAACACAUGCAAGUCGAGCGGAGAGARGUAGCUUGCUACUGAUCUUAGCGGCGGACGGGUGAGUAAUACUUAGGAAUCUGGCUAUUAGUGGGGGACAACAUUUCGAAAGGGAUGCUAAUACCGCAUACGUCCUACGGGAGAAAGCAGGGGAUCAGUAAUGACCUUGCGCUAAUAGAUGAGCCUAAGUCGGAUUAGCUAGUUGGUGGGGUAAAGGCCUACCAAGGCGACGAUCUGUAGCGGGUCUGAGAGGAUGAUCCGCCACACUGGGACUGAGACACGGCCCAGACUCCUACGGGAGGCAGCAGUGGGGAAUAUUGGACAAUGGGGGGAACCCUGAUCCAGCCAUGCCGCGUGUGUGAAGAAGGCCUUAUGGUUGUAAAGCACUUUAAGCGAGGAGGAGGGUACUGGUAUUAAUACUACCAGCUACUGGACGUUACUCGCAGAAUAAGCACCGGCUAACUCU
rnacentral:rRNA from 1 species